GUGCGCCCAUGUGGACAGACAGUGGGAAACAAUAUCUGUCAGGGAGGGGGCGGAACAGGGUUUUUCUCCGGCUCUCAGCGUGUCAGCCGUUCCCAUAGUUACGAACGGGGGCGGGGUUUCUAGCAGCGUAAGGACUUUGCAGGAGCCACUGGGUUCUCCCUAGAGCAUGAAGUUGUGGCUGUAACUGGCUUGUGUUUAUGAUUACAUCUGCAAUACUCAAGAGGAAAUAGAUGCUCUGCGAAAUGGAACUCGGCAAUAUUUCCUUUUGAGAUCUUGGGGGCCGGCCGCAUCGGGACUUUAAUGAAUGACUUGGAAUCUUCUAACCUCCAGGUUUUUGAUCCCCGCCUCUCCCAGGUUUCAGAAUUCCCAGACUAUCAUCAUAUCCUGAUAGGUUGUGUACCCAAGCAGAGGCUGAUUGGAACAUUCUAGAAGAGAAGCCAGAUAUUAACCACUCACCAAGAUGUGGCAAGCAUUCAUUCUGUCCUUGAAAAAAGCUAGGAGCAUUUUUGGUAAAGAAGCCAUGAGAAGUAAUGAAUUGUUUUCCAAGUUGAGCUUUAAGACUGCC
rnacentral:lncRNA from 1 species